GUGGAUUAGAUACCCUGGUAGUCCACGCCCUAAACGAUGCCAACUAGGUGUUGGGGAAGGAGACUUCCUUAGUACCGUAGCUAACGCGUGAAGUUGGCCGCCUGGGGAGUACGGUCGCAAGAUUAAAACUCAAAGGAAUUGACGGGGACCCGCACAAGCGGUGGAUGAUGUGGAUUAAUUCGAUGCAACGCGAAAAACCUUACCUACCCUUGACAUGCCAGGGAUCCUGCUGAGAGGUGGGAGUGCUCGAAAGAGACCCUGGACACAGGUGCUGCAUGGCCGUCGUCAACU
rnacentral:rRNA from 1 species